rnacentral:rRNA from 1 species
UACGGAGGGUGCGAGCGUUGUCCGGAUUAUUGGGCGUAAAGAGCUCGUAGGCGGCUUGUCGCGUCGUUCGUGAAAACUUGGGGCUCAACUCCAAGCUUGCGGUCGAUACGGGCAGGCUAGAGUUCGGUAGGGGAGACUGGAAUUCCUGGUGUAGCGGUGAAAUGCGCAGAUAUCAGGAGGAACACCGGUGGCGAAGGCGGGUCUCUGGGCCGAUACUGACGCUGAGGAGCGAAAGCGUGGGGAGCGAACAGG